rnacentral:antisense_RNA from 1 species
ACAAAAGAAACGCAUCUGGCCUGCAAGUCCCGGGCGGCUCGUGCACACCUCAGGCCUCAAAUGACUUGUUUCGCCUAGAAUCAACUCCCGUCUCGGCCGCCUCGAAGUCCCCAGCCCUGGCGAGAACAGCCCAGGAUGAGUGAAUGUUUGCCGAACAGGAUCGCACCGAGCGGGCGCCUUCGAGCCAGCGCCGGGGCGGGGGCAGAGCCCGGGGCCCGUUCCGGCAGCUCCCAGCGGUGUCCUCGUCGAGGGGCCGCCUGCCCCUCCUUCUCCAGCCUCUUCUCCCGGGAACUCAGCCCGGCUGAGUGACAGCAGCCUGCGCUCUAAUGGGCCCCCGGAUGCUGCCUCCUAAUUAGCUUGGACCUUCUCCCCUAAGGCUGCUUCUCAGGCCUCCCUCUCUGCACCGCAGUCAAUUUUCCGGGAUUGGGAUAGAAAUGAUGGCUUCUAAUCAGACGAAACGUUUCUGCUGGCUCUAGGCGUUUGGAGAAUGCAGAAGGAAGACCCCAAGGAUCCCAGCCAGACCCCACAGCCUCUUGUACCUCUCCCCUUGUUUUACACCUUACGCCUUGGCCAAAUGGGCCAGGCCUGGCCUUGGCAGGCAUGGGGUUGGCCUUGGCAGCCUUUGCCCUCCUUCAGGGUAGCUUUGUCCCAGCCUGGGGCCUGCGUCCUGGCUUCCCAGGGCUUCAGGCACAGGCCUGGUAAGCCAGGUGACUGCUGUCUCCCAACCCUAGGCCAGCAGCCCAGGAAGCCCUCAGUCUUCCAGUUUCUCUCCCACACAGUGGUAGCUGAGCUGCAGCUCCAAUGGGCCUUCACUGGGCACAGGCAAAGACAUUACUCUCCCACUCCUAAGAGUGAUUCCCUCCUCGAGUCCUUGCACGUAGGUGAAGUUUGUCGAAGGAUUUUGCUCAACAAUUGUUAGCUGGCCCCGAGACCUCAGCGUCUUGAGCAAACAGGCCACAGCUGGGGCGGCAAGGCGCCGCCCUGACCUGCUCCUCUGGCCAUAGGCGGACCCCAGACUGCCCUCUGCCCCUCACCUGUGAUCAGCUCCACCAGACACAGCAACCCAAGGGAGCUGCGCCAGGAUUGUCUGCCUGGGAAAGAAGCAGGGAGGUGUCCAGUGUCCUCACCCCAAAACCCAGUGCCUCCUCAACUCCUGGGUGGGUGGCACUGACUGCGCAGGUAUCAGCGUCUGGGGCACUCUGCAGGUUCUGCCUUUGAGUCCUCGCCUUACCCCUUCCCAUCACAGGGAGACACCCAGGGUCAGCUGAGCUCCUUGUGGGGGCUGCUGGGGCCAGGGUCAGGCAUGCAGGGUGGAACCAGGCCUGCCUUCCAUUCCCUCCACGUUAGUCCAAAGCACCCCCACCCCCCCCACCCCCACCCCACCCCCA